CAAAACUUACCCGCUGAAACUUAAGCAUAUCAAUAAGCGGAGGAAAAGAAACUAACAAGGAUUCCCCUAGUAACUGCGAGUGAAGCGGGAAAAGCUCAAAUUUAAAAUCUGGCAGCCCUUGGUUGUCCGAGUUGUAUUCUGGAGAAGUGUUUUCCGUGCUGGACUGUGUACAAGUCUCUUGGAACAGAGCGUCAUAGAGGGUGAGAAUCCCGUCUUUGACACAGACUACCAGUGCUUUGUGAUGCGCUCUCAAAGAGUCGAGUUGUUUGGGAAUGCAGCUCAAAAUGGGUGGUGAAUUCCAUCUAAAGCUAAAUAUUGGCGAGAGACCGAUAGCGAACAAGUACCGUGAGGGAAAGAUGAAAAGCACUUUGGAAAGAGAGUUAAACAGUACGUGAAAUUGCUGAAAGGGAAACGCUUGAAGUCAGUCAUGUUGUCUGGGACUCAGCCUUGCUUUUUGCUUGGUGUAUUUUCUAGGUAACAGGCCAGCAUCAAUUUUGACUGUUGGAAAAGGGCUGGGGUAAUGUGGCACCUCCGGGUGUGUUAUAGACUUUGGUCAUAUACAGCAGUUGGGAUUGAGGAACGCAGUGCGCCGCAAGGCAGGGGUUAGCCCACUUUCGCACUUAGGAUGCUGGCAUAAUGGCUUUAAACGACCCGUCUUGAAACACGGACCAAGGAGUCUAACAUACCUGCGAGUGUUUGGGUAGUAAACCCGAGCGCGUAAUGAAAGUGAAAGUUGAGACCUCUGUCGUGGAGGGCAUCAACGCCCGGACCUGACGUUUUCUGAAGGAUCCGCGGUAGAGCAUGUAUGUUGGGACCCGAAAGAUGGUGAACUAUGCCUGAAUAGGGUGAAGCCAGAGGAAACUCUGGUGGAGGCUCGUAGCGAUUCUGACGUGCAAAUCGAUCGUCAAAUUUGGGUAUAGGGGCGAAAGACUAAUCGAACCCAUCUAGUUGCUU
rnacentral:rRNA from 1 species